rnacentral:tRNA from 1 species
GGAUUUAGCUCAGUGGUAGAGCGCUUGCCUAGCAAGCGCAAGGUCCUGGGUUCGGUCCCCAGAUCCG